rnacentral:rRNA from 1 species
AUUGAACGCUGGCGGCAUGCUUUACACAUGCAAGUCGAACGGCAGCGCGGGCUUCGGCCUGGAGGCGAGUGGCGAACGGGUGAGUAAUACAUCGGAACGUGCCCAGUAGUGGGGGAUAGCUCGGCGAAAGCCGGAUUAAUACCGCAUACGACCUGAGGGUGAAAGCGGGGGAUCUUCGGACCUCGCGCUAUUGGGGCGGCCGAUGGCAGAUUAGCUAGUUGGUGGGGUAAAGGCCUACCAAGGCGACGAUCUGUAGCUGGUCUGAGAGGACGACCAGCCACACUGGGACUGAGACACGGCCCAGACUCCUACGGGAGGCAGCAGUGGGGAAUUUUGGACAAUGGGCGAAAGCCUGAUCCAGCAAUGCCGCGUGUGUGAUGAAGGCCUUCGGGUUGUAAAGCACUUUUGGCGGGAACGAAAAGGACUGUGCCAAUACCACGGUUCGAUGACGGUACCCGCAGAAUAAGCACCGGCUAACUACGUG